UACAGAGGUCUCAAGCGUUGUUCGGAUUCAUUGGGCGUAAAGGGUGUGUAGGUGGCGCCGUAAGUCGGGUGUGAAAUCUCGGGGCUUAACUCCGAAACUGCAUUCGAUACUGUGGUGCUUGAGGACUGGAGAGGAGACUGGAAUUCAUGGUGUAGCAGUGAAAUGCGUAGAGAUCAUGAGGAAGACCAGUGGCGAAGGCGGG
rnacentral:rRNA from 1 species